AUGGAUCAUCGCCUCGUGGCCCCCUUCCUCGUCCUCCUGGGCCUCCUCCUCUCCCCGCCGCCGGCAGCGGCGGCCGCGGGGGACGAGGAGCCCCUGAUCCGGCAGGUCGUCGGCGGCCCCGACCCCCUCGACAACGACCUGGAGCUCGACUCGCAGUUCCUCGGCUUCGUGCAGCGGUUCGGGAAGACCUACAGGGACGCGGAGGAGCACGCGCACCGGCUCUCCGUCUUCAAGGCCAACCUCCGCCGCGCGCGCCGGCACCAGAUGCUCGACCCGUCGGCCGAGCACGGGGUCACCAAGUUCUCCGACCUCACCCCGGCCGAGUUCCGCCGGACCUUCCUGGGGCUCAAGACCACCCGGCGGUCGUUCCUGCGGGAGAUGGCCGGGUCGGCGCACGACGCGCCCGUCCUCCCCACCGACGGCCUCCCCGAGGACUUCGACUGGAGGGACCACGGCGCCGUCGGCCCCGUCAAGAACCAGGGCUCGUGCGGGUCGUGCUGGUCGUUCAGCGCGUCCGGGGCGUUGGAGGGGGCCAACUACCUGGCCACGGGCAAGAUGGAGGUGCUCUCCGAGCAGCAGCUGGUCGACUGCGACCAUGAGUGCGACCCAGCAGAACCUGAUUCAUGCGAUGCUGGAUGCAACGGUGGGUUGAUGACUUCAGCCUUCAGCUAUCUGUUGAAAUCUGGUGGCCUUGAGAGAGAAAAGGAUUACCCUUACACCGGGAAGGACGGUACCUGCAAAUUUGAGAAGUCCAAGAUUGCUGCUUCAGUUCAAAACUUCAGCGUUGUCGCUGUUGAUGAAGAACAGAUUGCUGCUAACCUUGUGAAAUAUGGACCGCUGGCCAUCGGUAUCAACGCUGCAUACAUGCAGACAUACAUCGGCGGAGUGUCAUGCCCAUACAUAUGCGGCAGGCACCUCGACCACGGUGUCCUUCUCGUCGGCUACGGGGCGUCCGGCUUCGCGCCUUCCCGCUUCAAGGAGAAGCCCUACUGGAUCAUCAAGAACUCAUGGGGCGAGAACUGGGGGGACAAGGGUUACUACAAGAUCUGCAGGGGCUCCAACGUGCGAAACAAGUGCGGCGUCGACUCCAUGGUCUCCACGGUGUCCGCCACGCACGCCUCGAAGGAGGAGUAG
rnacentral:rRNA from 1 species